rnacentral:rRNA from 1 species
ACGCUCGACACCUACGGGGGGCAGCAGUGGGGGAUAUUGCACAAUGGGGGAAACCCUGAUGCAGCAACGCCGCGUGAAGGAUGAAGGUUUUCGGAUUGUAAACUUCUGUUCUUAGUGACGAUAAUGACGGUAGCUAAGAAGAAAGCUCCGGCUAACUACGUGCCAGCAGCCGCGGUAAUCUGAGCGGGCUGGCAAGGC